rnacentral:rRNA from 1 species
AGUGAACGCUGGCGGCAGGCCUAACACAUGCAAGUCGAACGGCAGGACAGUAAGUGCCUGCUCUCACCGGUGGCGAGUGGCGGAAGGGGGACGAAUAUAACGGAAUCUACCCUUCCGUGGGGGACUAAGUAGGUAGACCUACGCUCAUACCGCAUACGACCUACGGGUGGAAGCAGGGGAUCUUUGGAUCUUUCGCGAUUGAAUCAGCCGAUGCCGGAUUUGUUAGUUGGCGGGGUAACGGCCCACCAAGCCGACGAUCCGUAGCUGGUCUGAGAGGAUGAUCAGCCACACUGGAACUGAGACACGGUCCAGACUCCUACGGGAGGCAGCAGUGGGGAAUAUUGGACAAUGGGCGCAAGCCUGAUCCAGCCAUACCGCGUGGGUGAAGAAGGCCUUCGGGUUGUAAAGCCCUUUUGUUGGGAAAGAAAAGCAGCAGGUUAAUACCCCGCUGUUCUGACGGUACCCAAAGAAUAAGCACCGGCUAACUUCGUG